GCCAGCAGCCGCGGUAAUACAUAGGUCACAAGNGNUAUCCGGAAUUAUUGGGCGUAAAGCGUUCGUAGGCGGUUUGUUAAGUCUGGAGUUAAAGACUGGGGCUCAACCCCAGCCCGCUCUGGAUACUGGCUGACUAGAGUUACAUAGAGGUAAGUGGAAUUCUUAGUGGAGCGGUGGAAUGCGUAGAUAUUAGGAAGAACACCAAUGGCGAAGGCAGCUUACUGGAUGUACACUGACGCUCAGGGACGAAAGCGUGGGGAGCAAACAGGAUUAGAUACCCUGGUAGUCCACGCCGUAAACGAUGAUCAUUAGCCGCUAGAAUAUUUAGUGGCGCAGCUAACGCAUUAAAUGAUCCGCCUGAGUAGUAUGCUCGCAAGAGUGAAACUUAAAGGAAUUGACGGGGACCCGCACAAGCGGUGGAGCAUGUGGUUUAAUUUGAAGAUACGCGUAGAACCUUACCCACUCUUGACAUCUUCCGCAAUACUAUGGAGACAUAGUGGAGGUUAACGGAAUGACAGAUGGUGCAUGGUUGUCGUCAGCUCGUGCCGUGAGGUGUUAGGUUAAGUCCUGCAACGAGCGCAACCCCUGUCUUUAGUUACUAACGGAUAAUGCCGAGGACUCUAGAGAGACUGACUGGGUAACCAGUAGGAAGGUGGGGACGACGUCAAAUCAUCAUGCCUCUUACGAGUGGGGCAACACACGUGCUACAAUGGACGGUACAAAGAGAAGCAAUAUGGUGACAUGGAGCAAACCUCAAAAAACCGUUCUCAGUUCGGAUUGAAGUCUGAAACUCGACUUCAUGAAGUUGGAAUCGCUAGUAAUCGUAGAUCAGCUACGCUACGGUGAAUACGUUCUCGGGUCUUGUACACACCGCCCGUC
rnacentral:rRNA from 1 species